GUACAAGCAGUGGGAGCACCCUUUUGGGUGUGACUGCGUACCUUUUGUAUAAUGGGUCAGCGACUUAUAUUCUGUAGCAAGGUUAACCGAAUAGGGGAGCCGGAGGGAAACCGAGUCUUAAUUGGGCGUUAAGUUGCAGGGUAUAGACCCGAAACCCGGUGAUCUAGCCAUGGGCAGGUUGAAGGUUGGGUAACACUAACUGGAGGACCGAACCGACUAAUGUUGAAAAAUUAGCGGAUGACCUGUGGCUGGGGGUGAAAGGCCAAUCAAACCGGGAGAUAGCUGGUUCUCCCCGAAAGCUAUUUAGGUAGCGCCUCGUGAAUUCAUCUCCGGGGGUAGAGCACUGUUUCGGCUAGGGGGCCAUCCCGGCUUACCAACCCGAUGCAAACUGCGAAUACCGGAGAAUGUUAUCACGGGAGACACACGGCGGGUGCUAACGUCCGUCGUGAAGAGGGAAACAACCCAGACCGCCAGCUAAGGUCCCAAAGUCAUGGUUAAGUGGGAAACGAUGUGGGAAGGCCCAGACAGCCAGGAUGUUGGCUUAGAAGCAGCCAUCAUUUAAAGAAAGCGUAAUAGCUCACUGGUCGAGUCGGCCUGCGCGGAAGAUGUAACGGGGCUAAACCAUGCACCGAAGCUGCGGCAGCGACGUUUAUGCGUUGUUGGGUAGGGGAGCGUUCUGUAAGCCUGCGAAGGUGGCCUGUGAGGGUUGCUGGAGGU
rnacentral:rRNA from 1 species